GUAGGGAAUAUUGGACAAUGGGCGCAAGCCUGAUCCAGCCAUGCCGCGUGCAGGAUGAAGGCCUUCGGGUUGUAAACUGCUUUUGUACGGAACGAAAAAGCUCUCUCUAAUACAGGGGGUGAAUGACGGUACCGUAAGAAUAAGCACCGGCUAACUACGUGCCAGCAGCCGCGGUAAUACGUAGGGUGCAAGCGUUAAUCGGAAUUACUGGGCGUAAAGCGUGCGCAGGCGGUUAUGUAAGACAGAGGUGAAAUCCCCGGGCUCAACGUGGGAACUGCCUUUGUGACUGCAUAGCUGGAGUGCGGCAGAGGGGGAUGGAAUUCCGCGUGUAGCAGUGAAAUGCGUAGAUAUGCGGAGGAACACCGAUGGCGAAGGCAAUCCCCUGGGCCUGCACUGACGCUCAUGCACGAAAGCGUGGGGAGCAAACAGGAUUAGAUACCCCGGUAGUCC
rnacentral:rRNA from 1 species